rnacentral:rRNA from 1 species
UUCGCAAUGCCCGAAAGGGUGACGAAGCGACGCCGCGUGUGGGAAGAAGGCCUUCGGGUUGUAAACCACUGUCGGGAGUUAAGAAAUGUAAGGGUGUUAAUAGCGCCUUUACUUGACAAAGGCUCCGGAGGAAGCCACGGCUAACUCUGUGCCAGCAGCCGCGGUAAUACAGAGGCGGCAAGCGUUGUUCGGAAUUAUUGGGCGUAAAGAGCACGUAGGCGGCUUUGCAAGUCAGUUGUGAAAGCCUUCCGCUUAACGGAAGAACAGCAGCUGAUACUACAGAGCUUGAGCACGGGAGGGGAGAGUGGAACUUCUGGUGGAGCGGUGAAAUGCGUAGAUAUCAGAAGGAACGCCGGCGGCGAAAGCGAUUCUCUGGUCCGAAACUGACGCUGAGUGUGCGAAAGCUAGGGGAUCAAACGAGAUUAGAUACCCCGGUAGUCCUAGCCGUAAACGAUGGGCACUAAGUAGAGGGGUUUU